ensembl:snRNA U4 U4 spliceosomal RNA
AACUUUGUACAGUGGUAGUAUCAUAGUGAAUGAGGUUUAUUCAACAUGCGAUUAUUGCUAACUGAAAACUUUUCCCAAUACCCCAUCAUGACGACUUGACAUAUAGUCAGCAUUGGCAAUUUUUGACAGUCUCUAUAGAGA